rnacentral:rRNA from 1 species
AUUGAACGCUGGCGGCAGGCCUAACACAUGCAAGUCGAACGAGUGGCGGACGGGUGAGUAAUGUCUGGGAAACUGCCCGAUGGAGGGGGAUAACUACUGGAAACGGUAGCUAAUACCGCAUACCAUCGGAUGUGCCCAGAUGGGAUUAGAUUUUAGGUGAGGUAACGGCUCACCUAGGCGACGAUCCCUAGCUUGUCUGAGAGGAUGACCAGCCAGCCUGGAACUGAGACACGGUCCAGAUUCCUACGUGAGGCAGCAUUGGGGAAUAUUGCACAAUGGGCGCAAGCCUGAUGCUGCCAGGCCGCGUGUAUGAAGAAGGCCUUCGGGUUUUAAAGUACUUUCAGCGGUGAGGCGUUACCCGCAGAAGAAGCACCGGCUAAGUCCGGGCCAGCAGCCGCGGUAAUAC